rfam:Candidatus Methylopumilus planktonicus strain MMS-10A-171 genome assembly, chromosome: 1
GCCCGGGUGGUGAAAUUGGUAGACACAAGAGACUUAAAAUCUCUCGCUCGCAAGGGCGUGCCGGUUCGAUUCCGGCCCCGGGCA